rnacentral:rRNA from 1 species
UACGUAGGGUGCGAGCGUUAAUCGGAAUUACUGGGCGUAAAGCGUGCGCAGGCGGUGAUGUAAGACAGAUGUGAAAUCCCCGGGCUCAACCUGGGAACUGCAUUUGUGACUGCAUCGCUGGAGUGCGGCAGAGGGGAUGGAAUUCCGCGUGUAGCAGUGAAAUGCGUAGAGAUCGGAAAGAACACCAACGGCGAAAGCACUCUGCUGGGCCGACACUGACACUGAGAGACGAGAGCUAGGGGAGCGAAUGGG